GACGAACGCUGGCGGCGUGCUUAACACAUGCAAGUCGAACGGUAAGGCCCUUCGGGGUACACGAGUGGCGAACGGGUGAGUAACACGUGGGUGAUCUGCCCUGCACUUCGGGAUAAGCCUGGGAAACUGGGCCUAAUACCGGAUAGGACCACUGCCUGCAUGGGUGGUGGUGGAAAGCUUUUGCGGUGUGGGAUGGGCCCGCGGCCUAUCAGCUUGUUGGUGGGGUGAUGGCCUACCAAGGCGACGACGGGUAGCCGGCCUGGGAGGGUGACCGGCCACACUGGGACUGAGAUACGGCCCAGACUCCGACGGGAGGCAGCAGUGGGGAAUAUUGCACAAUGGGCGCAAGCCUGAUGCAGCGACGCCGCGUGAGGGAUGACGGCCUUCGGGUUGUAAACCUCUUUCAGCACCGACGAAGCGCAAGUGACGGUAGGUGCAGAAGAAGGACCGGCCAACUACGUGCCAGCCGCCGCCGUAA
rnacentral:rRNA from 1 species